GGGGUUGUGGCUCAGUGGUAGAGUGCUUGCCUCACAAGUGGGAGGCACUGGGUUUGAUUCUCAGCACCA
rnacentral:tRNA from 1 species